AUCAUUAUUUCAAUCACUAUAUAUAAUCCAAAUAUAUUGCAAUAGAUGAUGAUUGAGUGGAAAUACAAAUGUUUAUCUUUUUUCCUAAUUUCGAAAAUCAUUAUUACAAUCAUUGGAAUAAUCUGGAUAUGUUGCAAUAAAUGAUGAUUAUGUUAAGACACUCGAACUUUCUCUCUUCCUGUGAACCGCGAAAAACUUCGCAAUCUGGACCCGAAAGACCACCCCGGAAAUUAAUUAACGAAGCAAGUUUUUCCACGAGAAAGAAAAUGGAAAGAAACGGUCGAAGGAAGAGGCGGUACGGGAGGUGAAGUUUUUCCACCGUUUGACAACGAGCGGAAUACGUAAACGGGUGGGGGGAGGAGGCAAAAUGCUUGGAAGUUGAAGA